rnacentral:rRNA from 1 species
GAUGAACGCUGGCGGCGUGCUUAACACAUGCAAGUCGAACGAACCUUCGGGUUAGUGGCGGACGGGUGAGUAACGCGUGAGAAUCUGCCCUCAGGAGGGGGAUAACGGUUGGAAACGACCGCUAAUACCCCAUAUGCCUACUGGUGAAAUGAAUUUCGCCUGAGGAUGAGCUCGCGUCUGAUUAGCUAGUUGGUGAGGUAAUGGCUCACCAAGGCUUCGAUCAGUAGCUGGUCUGAGAGGAUGAUCAGCCACACUGGGACUGAGACACGGCCCAGACUCCUACGGGAGGCAGCAGUGGGGAAUUUUCCGCAAUGGGCGAAAGCCUGACGGAGCAACGCCGCGUGAGGGACGAAGGCCUCUGGGCUGUAAACCUCUUUUCUCAAGGAAGAAGAUAUGACGGUACUUGAGGAAUAAGCCACGGCUAAUUCCGUGCCAGCAGCCGCGGUAAUACGGGAGUGGCAAGCGUUAUCCGGAAUUAUUGGGCGUAAAGCGUCCGCAGGCGGCUUUUCAAGUCUGCUGUUAAAGCGUGGAGCUUAACUCCAUCAUGGCAGUGGAAACUGAAAGGCUUGAGUAUGGUAGGGGCAGAGGGAAUUCCCGGUGUAGCGGUGAAAUGCGUAGAUAUCGGGAAGAACACCAGUGGCGAAGGCGCUCUGCUGGGCCAUUACUGACGCUCAUGGACGAAAGCCAGGGGAGCGAAAGGGAUUAGAUACCCCUGUAGUCCUGGCCGUAAACGAUGAACACUAGGUGUCGGGGGAAUCGACCCCUUCGGUGUCGUAGCUAACGCGUUAAGUGUUCCGCCUGGGGAGUACGCACGCAGGUGUGAAACUCAAAGGAAUUGACGGGGGCCCGCACAAGCGGUGGAGUAUGUGGUUUAAUUCGAUGCAACGCGAAGAACCUUACCAGGGUUUGACAUCCUGCGAACCUCUUA